AAAUUGAAGAGUUUGAUCAUGGCUCAGAUUGAACGCUGGCGGCAGGCCUAACACAUGCAAGUCGAACGGUAGCACAGAGAGCUUGCUCUUGGGUGACGAGUGGCGGACGGGUGAGUAAUGUCUGGGAAACUGCCCGAUGGAGGGGGAUAACUACUGGAAACGGUAGCUAAUACCGCAUAACGUCGCAAGACCAAAGUGGGGGACCUUCGGGCCUCAC
rnacentral:rRNA from 1 species